GAGGCACCGAUCUCUGCUCCGUCGCAGCCCGCGAGGCCCGCCUUGGCCGCGGGCUCUGGAGGCCAGUGCCC
ensembl:misc_RNA